rnacentral:tRNA from 1 species
GCCUGGCUGGCUCAGUCAGUACAGCAUGUGACUCUUAUUCUCAGGGUCAUGAGUUCAAGCCCCGUAUUGGGCA